UGCCUUCAGGUGUGAAGUCUUUCAAAUUAAGUCUAGGGUAUUUUGAGCGAAUUUUGUCAUGUAAUUUAAUUUGGUGGUUCGCGCCUGUUUGAUGACGUGACUAGGUAGAUAAAGAACGAAUGUGCUUGGAUUUUCGGUCGUUUACACGGGACAAGUGGCACAUACAUUUUGUUAACAAUCAAAAUUUGUUAAUGAGUAUAAUCCCACUUAUAUUAUAAAGUUUGUAUAUUUGUUACUUUUUCCCCACUCCAUUUUGGGUUGGGUUAUUUUUUAUUAAUAAAUUUGAUAUUUCAGUUUAAUAAAUAUGUCUGUGUUGCGGUAGCUGAUACCUUGGAUUAACAUAAAACUCUUAAGCGCCAUAAAAUUUACUUGUUUUCUGAUACAGUUCGACCUUUCGAUUUUUAAUUUAUUAUUUUCUUGUCAAGUGCAUUUCGAUAAUUUAUAACUGAAACUGAUACAGAUUCUGUCCUUUAAUUCAUUCUCAGUCUCUUCGUAGCAAACAUAUGAUUUCCCAUGCAAAUAUUAAUAAUUAAAUUCUUUUUUGAUACUACAUACCAGGAAGGCAAACAGACAUACGGUCACCAGAUGGUAUUUGUUGGAACACCAACAUUUUCGAGCCGGCUCGAAGGACCAUGAUAGAUUUAGGCUGGUAAAAUAAAAAUCCAAGAGCUACAGAGAAACGUGACCGUUCAUUAGAGGGAGAGCGAACAAGAGAGAGUUGGAUACAGAUAGACAGUUGAUUGUUAAACCCAGUAUAAAGCCGACGGAACGCGUCAGAAAUACCAUCCUACGCUCCACCACGCAAAUCAUUGACGUCGGUAGGAAGUCUGCGAAUCAGAAGUGGGAUUGGGCGAGUUAUGUAACCAAUCACAGCGCGCCAUUGUGACGGAACGACAACCACACCGCAAUGUGAUUGGCUCUCUGCGUCUUACUUUGAAUUAGAUAGUGAGAAGUGAAAUGCAACCAGAACUUCGCCCUCUAAUGGCAAGAGAAAGAAACGCUAAUGUUGAGAUGGUCCGAUGAGCUGUUGUCCUUCGAUAAAAUGGACGAAUAGAUCACAAUAGAUCGUAUGCUAUGCUUGAGUGGACGUGUCCAACACCUGAUAGGAUUUAUCGGACACAUCAUCGACCGUAGUCAGCUAGUAAACAUUGAUAUCUCUAUAAAUAUACGCUAUAUACAGGUUAGGUUAGUUAAUUUAAACCUGUAAGUAUUUUAGUUCAAAAUAUAUUUAUUCUUUCUAUCAUUCUUUUGUAUGUAGGUACAGUCAAAAGCACAUCAACGUACUCGAAUUCAUUGCAACGGCCGUUAUUACCGCGCCAUAGAGGUUCAUGCAGGAUAACUUGAUGCGCUGUUGACUGUAUGCAUGUUGGUUAGAUUUUGAUGAAAUUUAAAAGGUAUAUGCCAAUAGAAUUUUUAAGUUCGUGGUAAGGAUCAAAAUCGGUUCAGUCAUUUUUUUCUUAACAAUUUUGUAAAAAUUUAUUGUGUUCGCCAGGUCUAAGUACGACAACUAGUAUGUAUAAGCACGUAUUACGCGAACAACAAGUAAUUGAGUUUGAAAUUGAA